GAUGAACGCUGGCGGCGUGCUUAACACAUGCAAGUCGAACGGUGAAAGAGAGCUUGCUCUCUGGAUCAGUGGCGAACGGGUGAGUAACACGUGAGCAAUCUGCCCCUGACUCUGGGAUAAGCGCUGGAAACGGCGUCUAAUACCGGAUACGAGCUGCGAAGGCAUCUUCAGCAGCUGGAAAGAACUUCGGACAGGGAUGAGCUCGCGGCCUAUCAGCCAGUUGGUGAGGUAAUGGCUCACCAAGGCGUCGACGGGUAGCCGGCCUGAGAGGGGGACCGGCCACACUGGGACUGAGACACGGCCCAGACUCCUACGGGAGGCAGCAGUGGGGAAUAUUGCACAAUGGGCGCAAGCCUGAUGCAGCAACGCCGCGUGAGGGACGACGGCCUUCGGGUUGUAAACCUCUUUUAGCAGGGAAGAAGCGAAAGUGACGGUACCUGCAGAAAAAGCACCGGCUAACUACGUGCCAGCCGCCGCCGUAAGAC
rnacentral:rRNA from 1 species